rnacentral:ncRNA from 1 species
ACGGCACCGCGACGCGGCUGCCCCGGACGAGUUGCGUGUCGUACCCGGCCUGACAAGACGACCGCCUU